CGGGCAUAGUGAUAGACGACGAC
rnacentral:siRNA from 1 species